CCUACGGGUGGCAGCAGUGGGGGAUAUUGCACAAUGGGGGGAACCCUGAUGCAGCGACGCCGCGUUGGUGCAGGAGCGUUUCGGCGCGUAAAGCCCUAUCGGCAGGGAAGAAGGAGGACGGUACCUGACUAAGAAGCCCCGGCUAACUACGUGCCAGCAGCCGCGGUAAUACGUAGGGGGCAAGCGUUAUCCGGAUUUAGUGGGUUACAGGGGUGCGUAGGCGGUCCGUUAAGUCAGCGGUAAAAUUGCGGGGCUCAACCCCGUCGAGCCGUUGAAACUGGCAGACUUGAGUUGGCGAGAAGUACGCGGAAUGCGCGGUGUAGCGGUGAAAUGCAUAGAUAUCGCGCAGAACUCCGAUUGCGAAGGCAGCGUACCGGCGCCAGACUGACGCUGAGGCACGAAAGCGUGGGGAUCGAACAGGAUUAGAUACCCCUGUAGUC
rnacentral:rRNA from 1 species